AACGAACGCUGGCGGCAUGCCUAACACAUGCCAGUCGAACGAACCCUUCGGGUCUAUUCUCGCACGGGUUCGUAACCCGUGGGAACCUUCCCUUAUGGUCGGAAUAACUCCCCGAAAGGGGUGCUAAUACCGGAUAGUGUCUUCUGACCAAAGAUUUAUCGCCUUUGGAUGUUCCCGCGUUGGAUUAGCUAGUUGGUAGGGUAAAAGCAUACCAAGGCGACGAUCCAUAGCUGGUCUGAGAGGAUGAUCAGCCACACUGGGACUGAGACACGGCCCAGAAUCCUACGGGAGGCAGGAGUGGGGAAUAUUGGAAAAUGGGCGAAAGGAUGAUCCAGCAAUGCCGGGUGAGUGAUGAAGGCAUUAGGGUUGUAAAGCUCUUGUACCCGGGAUGAUAAUGACAGUACCGGGAGAAUAAGCUACGGCUAACUCCGUG
rnacentral:rRNA from 1 species